rnacentral:rRNA from 1 species
CACGUAGGGUGCGAGCGUUGUCCGGAAUUAUUGGGCGUAAAGAGCUCGUAGGCGGUGUGUCGCGUCGGCCGUGAAAACCUGGGGCUUAACUCUGGGCGUGCGGUCGAUACGGGCAUCACUGGAGUUCGGCAGGGGAGACUGGAAUUCCUGGUGUAGCGGUGAAAUGCGCAGAUAUCAGGAGGAAUACCGAUGGCGAAGGCAGGUCUCUGGGCUGACACUGACGCUCAUGCACGAAAGCGUGGGGAGCAAACAGG